rnacentral:misc_RNA from 1 species
GAUGAAGAACGUAGCGAAAUGCGAUAAGUAAUGUGAAUUGCAGAUUUCAGUGAAUCAUCGAAUCUUUGAACGCACCUUGCGCCUUGUGGUAUUCCACAAGGCAUGCCCGUUUGAGUAUCAUUAAAUCAUCAACUCUAAAACCAUUGUGGUUUUUUUUAGAGCUUGGUCUUGAGGGUUUUGCAGGCUUUUUUUUUUUUCGAGUCUGCUCCCUUUAAAUGCAUUAGCGAGACUUCCCUAUGCUGAACCGUCUCUUUGACGUGAUAAUUAUCUGCGUCGAAUUUUGGUUCUCGUUGGGCUUGCUUCUAAUCGUCUGUUAAAGACAAAACGGAUUUGGGUGCAUAUAUGCGCCUUUUUCCAAAACCUUUUUUUGAUCUCAAAUCGGGUAGGACUACCCGCUGAACUUAAGCAUAUCAAUAAGCGGAGGA